CCUACGGGAGGCAGCAGUGGGGAAUCUUGCGCAAUGGGCGAAAGCCUGACGCAGCAACGCCGCGUGCGGGAAGAAGGCCUUAGGGUUGUAAACCGCUUUCAGUAGGAACGAAAAUGACGGUACCUGCAGAAGAAGGUGCGGCCAACUACGUGCCAGCAGCCGCGGUGACACGUAGGCACCAAGCGUUGUCCGGAUUUAUUGGGCGUAAAGAGCUCGUAGGCGGUUCAGUAAGUCGGGUGUGAAAACUCUGGGCUUAACCCAGAGCCGCCACUCGAUACUGCUGUGACUUGAGUUCGGUAGGGGAGCAGGGAAUUCCUAGUGUAGCGGUGAAAUGCGCAGAUAUUAGGAGGAACACCGGUGGCGAAGGCGCUGCUCUGGGCCGAUACUGACGCUGAGGAGCGAAAGCGUGGGUAGCAAACAGGAUUAGAUACCCUGGUAGUCCACGCCGUAAACGUUGGGCACUAGGUGUGGGUUCCAACCAACGGAAUCCGCGCCGUCGCUAACGCAUUAAGUGCCCCGCCUGGGGUAGGUACGGCGGCGACGACGUAAACCGUUAAACGUAAGUUAGACGGCGUGAGACGNGCCGAACGGACGACCGACGAGGGAGUAGG
rnacentral:rRNA from 1 species